CCAUCCCAUUAACAUCAAACAGUUCUAACCUAUUACCUUUUCCUGUCUCACCACCCCCAACUGUCGUAACCCCUCCUUUACUACCCUAAUUUCUCCUCCACACCUAGCCGAUGCCACCAAUCUUCCCCACCUCCUAAACCGCCGGUACCCCUCUUCUCCUAUCCCUCAUCGCCGGAAACCCCAACCUUCCUUCUCACCGCCGACAACCUCUCCGCCGCUCAGCCCCUUCUCAUCGUCACCAUAUUUCCCCAAAACCCACCCCAUACAUCAAACCGAUUUCACAUCACCUGCCAUUCUCACCUAAAAUCACAUCACCAAUCCUUCUAUCCAUACAUCAUGACCGAUUUCAACCACCAUUUAACCAUAGUUCAUCAUAAAAAUCGAAUUUGAUUUUGGGGAUUAAAGAUUCAACCGAAAAAUUUCUCAAAUCUUCUUGCUUACCUCGAAUCUCUGAAUGUCACGUGCAGGAACUUCAAGUCGGGCCAACAGGAAACGAGGCUGGGACACUCGCUCAGGAAAGGGCCCAGUGGGAGACAGGCGGGUGUUGAGGUGUUGGAUGAUGCGGAGUAGAGCGAGGAUGACAGCUUAUAUCUUUUGCUUAUUUUUAUCUUUAUGCUGUUUUUAAUCCUCGUCUAUUGGUUUGUACUUAAAUACAUUAAACAAGUUGGUUGGGGUUUUGGGGUUGGUUGAUACACUUGUGGAUGGUUGUUGAACGUGAUAUUACAUAUUAUCUUUUGCUA